rnacentral:rRNA from 1 species
UUCCGUAGGUGAACCUGCGGAAGGAUCAUUAUUAUUUGGGUCGGGUUACUUCUUAACAAGAAAUAGACUUUUACCAAAUAAAUUUAUUUUUUACUCCUAUUAGGAGCAAGAUGAACUUAUAUUUAAAACCCACCUCUUUAAAUGUAUAUUUUUUAUUUUAAAUGAUAAUUAAAGAUCACUUUCAACAACGGAUCUCUUGGCUCUCGCAUCGAUGAAGAACGUAGCGAAGUGCGAUAAGUAAUGUGAAUUGCAGAAUUCCGUGAAUCAUCGAAUCUUUGAACGCAUAUUGCACUCUCUGGUAUUCCGUAGAGUAUGCCUGUUUGAGGGUCUGUUAAAUAAAAAUCGGGGUUGUUGCUGCUUUUUGUGGUGACGCUUCGGAAUUGGGUAGUCUUACCUUCGGGUUAAGUGACCUAAAAUUUUACAUGAUUUUUCGAACGUAUUUGAAUUUUUACGUACGUUUGUGAUAUCGAUAUUAGGUGUGGUCAUCCUCAUGAUUCACGUCUAUAAUUUUUUCAUUUUUAGACCUCAAAUCAGGUAAGAACACCCGCUGAACUUAAGCAUAUCAAUAAGCGGAGGAAAAGGCGAAUU